AGAACGAACGCUGGCGGCAUGCCUAACACAUGCAAGUCGAACGAGACCUUCGGGUCUAGUGGCGCACGGGUGCGUAACGCGUGGGAAUCUGCCCUUGGGUUCGGGAUAACAGUUGGAAACGACUGCUAAUACCGGAUGAUGACUUCGGUCCAAAGAUUUAUCGCCCAGGGAUGAGCCCGCGUAAGAUUAGCUAGUUGGUGGGGUAAAGGCUUACCAAGGCAACGAUCUUUAGCUGGUCUGAGAGGAUGAUCAGCCACACUGGGACUGAGACGCGGCCCAGACUCCUACGGGAGGCAGCAGUGGGGAGUAUUGGACAAUGGGCGAAAGCCUGAUCCAGCAAUGCCGCGUGAGUGAUGAAGGCCUUAGGGUGUAAAGCUCUUUUACCCGGGAUGAUAAUGACAGUACCGGAGAAUAAGCCCCGGCUAACUCCGUGCCAGCAGCCGC
rnacentral:rRNA from 1 species